rnacentral:misc_RNA from 1 species
AAGUCGUAACAAGGUCUCCGUUGGUGAACCAGCGGAGGGAUCAUUACUGAGUUAAAAAAACUCCCAACCCACUGUGAACAUACCUAUUUGUUGCUUCGGCGGUAGCGCCCCGGCUGAGCCCGGAGCAAGGCGCCCGCCGAGGGACCCCCAAACCAGUUUUCUUAUAGCGGGAUAUUCUGAGUAAAACAUAAAUCAUCAAAACUUUUAACAACGGAUCUCUUGGCUCUG